CCUAAAACCUAAAACUAAUUCCCCUUCUCCAAUCUCUCACAUCCGAUUUUCCCCUCCCCCGUCGCCGCAAUCUGCCCCACCGCGCCCAGCCCCUCCCACCGUCGCGAUCUACUUCGCCGUACCACCUUCAAACCUGAAACCCUAAUCUAGCGCGCCUCCACAAUAUGCACACACUUGCGCCCGCCCUGCGCCGUCGCGACCAGAGAAGUUCGCCAGUUGCGCGCCUAGAGCAGGGGACGAUACAGCCAGGUAGGAUUCUAAAUGUUGGAUUUAUUUCAAUGGCAGUGGGUAACUAAUUGGGGUUGAUUUUCGAUUUAAUUGUUGGAUUUUCGAAAGAUAGGUGUUAAUGAGUCAGCCCCUUUUAUGUUGUUUCUCCUUGCUCUCUAGCUGUUCGACGAAAUGUCUGAAUGACGAUUGUGUUGAUGAGGCCUAUUAGGUUAUUGUGUUAAUUAAUCUAUCUUUUUCUGUACAAGUUCAAUCUGGUGGCUGCUCUAAGCAUUAGUAUAACUUGUGUUUGAAGCGGCGAUGCAAUUUUUUUGUUUCUCACAUAAAUUUUGGAGUGUGGAUAGGUUUGAUUUUAUUAAUCUGUUCUGAGUAAUUAUCAUAACUCAAUGAAGUUCCGUAUUACUGUCAGGUUUAGAUGAUCUUUGAUGCAUAGUGAGUAACAAUGGUUGCCUUGCGUCUGGCACCACCGCCAUCAAUGACUGUCCCGCCGGACAUUACUUGGCUCCGAAACAGUUCUUGAUCACCCAUGGUAAGUAUUUUCUAUUAGGAAAGAUUAUAUUUGAUUAUAAUGAAUAUGAAAUUAUUAGUGUGAAUUUUUUUUUUUAGGAGGAAUUAGUGUGAAUUUUAGAAAGAACAAAUUUAGGAAAGAAUCAUUAUGCAAUACGAUUAUAUGAUUUAUCAAUCAAUCAAUAAUCAGCCAAUUUUAGAUACAAAUUAACAAUGGAA
rnacentral:lncRNA from 1 species